UUCCUACGGGCGGCUGCAGUGGGGAAUUUUGGACAAUGGGCGCAAGCCUGAUCCAGCAAUGCCGCGUGCAGGAAGAAGGCCUUCGGGUUGUAAACUGCUUUUGUACGGAACGAAAAGGCUCUGGUUAAUACCUGGGGCUCAUGACGGUACCGUAAGAAUAAGCACCGGCUAACUACGUGCCAGCAGCCGCGGUAAUACGUAGGGUGCAAGCGUUAAUCGGAAUUACUGGGCGUAAAGCGUGCGCAGGCGGUUUUGUAAGACAGGCGUGAAAUCCCCGGGCUCAACCUGGGAAGUGCGCUUGGGACUGCAAGGCUGGAGUGCGGCAGAGGGGGAUGGAAUUCCGCGUGUAGCAGUGAAAUGCGUAGAUAUGCGGAGGAACACCGAUGGCGAAGGCAAUCCCCUGGGCCUGCACUGACGCUCAUGCACGAAAGCGUGGGGAGCAAACAGGAUUAGAUACCCCAGUAGUCAC
rnacentral:rRNA from 1 species